rnacentral:tmRNA from 1 species
GGGGGUGUCCAGGUUUCGACCGAGGUUCCUGCUCCCCGAGCUGCGUGCCGGGGCCCCCGAGAUCCCCGCGAAUCCGCUCGGGACGGCCUAAACAGCCGACGACUUCAUGAUCGCCGCGUAGGAAACUCCGCAGCCGUCGUCAGCAAGACGCUCGCUACUGCUGAUCGACGUCGCAAGCGAGCUCGGUUGGGAGAGCGCAUUCGACCGUCACCCAGCGACAACUCAGUCGGAUCCGGCCGGACGGCGCCUGCUCAUGGGCGCCGUACGUGCGACACAGCACAUGAGCUAUGCACGUAGACGCUCGUCGAGCUAGCUCUCGGGACGUGGGUUCGACUCCCACCACCUCCACCA